rnacentral:ncRNA from 1 species
GGCACUGCUCCGUGACAAACAGGUGCUGACUGAAGUAAGUCCGACGUGUUUCAAUGACACUGCCCUUGAGGCUUUGGGAUUAC